rnacentral:rRNA from 1 species
CCUACGGGUGGCAGCAGUGGGGAAUAUUGGACAAUGGGCGAAAGCCUGAUCCAGCCAUGCCGCGUGUGUGAAGAAGGCCUUCGGGUUGUAAAGCACUUUCAGUGGGGAAGAAAGCCUUGGGGCUAAUACCCUCGAGGAAGGACAUCACCCACAGAAGAAGCACCGGCUAACUCCGUGCCAGCAGCCGCAGUAAUACGGAGGGUGCGAGCGUUAAUCGGAAUUACUGGGCGUAAAGCGCGCGUAGGCGGUCUGAUAAGCCGGUUGUGAAAGCCCCGGGCUCAACCUGGGAACGGCAUCCGGAACUGUCAGGCUAGAGUGCAGGAGAGGAAGGUAGAAUUCCCGGUGUAGCGGUGAAAUGCGUAGAGAUCGGGAGGAAUACCAGUGGCGAAGGCGGCCUUCUGGACUGACACUGACGCUGAGGUGCGAAAGCGUGGGUAGCAAAUAGGAUUAGAUACCCGGGUAGUC